CCUUGAGCUGGGACAGGAGAUGUGAGCAUGUAUCGAGAUCGUUUCUCACAAAAGCAGCCUUGAAUCGCUCGAACAACUGAGCCACCGCAGUGAGCUUCGGAUCCAUGUUCCUUAUCUCUUCUUUGUUUCGACCAUUCUGU